GGCAGUAUGGCAUAGUGGUUUGAGUGUUGGACUACAAUUUUGGCGACCAGGGUUCGAUUCCCAGCUUGGCCA